AGAGUUUGAUCAUGGCUCAGAACGUACGCUGGCGGCACGCCUAACACAUGCAAGUCGAACGAAGUAGCAAUACUUAGUGGCAGACGGGUGAGUAACAUGUAGGUAUCUGCCCUUUGGCCUGGAAUAACACGAGGAAACUUGUGCUAAUACCGGAUAAGUCUUUACGGAGAAAGCUUUAUGCACCAUUGGAUGAGCCCGCACUUGAUUAGUUUGUUGGUGGGGUAAUGGCCUACCAAGACUGUGAUCAAUAGCUGAUUUGAGAGGAUGAUCAGCCACAUUGGGACUGAGACACGGCCCAAACUCCUACGGGAGGCAGCAGUGGGGAAUCUUGCACAAUGGAGGAAACUCUGAUGCAGCGAUGCCGCGUGAGUGAAGAAGGCCCUUGGGUUGUAAAGCUCUUUCGUCGGGGAAGAAAAUGACUGUACCCGAAUAAGAAGGUCCGGCUAACUUCGUGCCAGCCGCCGCGGUAAUAC
rnacentral:rRNA from 1 species